rnacentral:pre_miRNA from 1 species
GUAAACAUGGAAACUGCCGUUGGAUCAAAAUUGAUGUAUAAUUAAGAUUUGUCCAUAUCACCAUGAGUAAAAAUUUUGCUCCCAAAUCUAGGAGUAAUAUUUAUACUCAUGGGUGAUCUGGGGCUAAAUUCUUUACUCGGUGGUUGGACAAAUCCUAGGAGUCCAUUUUUGUAUCCAAUGGUAGUUUUCAGGUUUGU